GAUAAACGCUGGCGGCGUGCAUGAGACAUGCAAGUCGAACGAACGAGCUUGCUCGUUAGUGGCGGACGGCUGAGUAACGCGUAGGUGACCUGCCCCGAAGUGGGGGAUAACUGCCCGAAAGGGUGGCUAAUACCGCAUGUGGCGACACUUUCAUUGGUGUCAUCAAAGCCGCGAGGCGCUUCGGGGGGGGCCUGCGUCCGAUUAGCUCGUUGGUGGGGUAAUGGCUCACCAAGGCGACGAUCGGUAGGUGGUCUGAGAGGACGAUCACCCAGACUGGGACUGAGACACGGCCCGGACUCCUACGGGAGGCAGCAGUCGGGAAUUUUGCUCAAUGGGCGCAAGCCUGAAGCAGCAACGCCGCGUGCGGGAUGAAGGCCUUCGGGUUGUAAACCGCUUUUGUCAGGGACGAUGAUGACGGUACCUGACGAAUAAGUCACGGCUAACUACGUGCCAGCCGCCGCAGUAAAAC
rnacentral:rRNA from 1 species